UUUAGAAAAUAAGUUUGGAAAUCGUCAAAGCAUUUUUCUUUCUUCAAAACAUAACCCACACUUGAAAGAUAGAAGUUUCGUAAAGAGUGCUACUUCAACAUAGACGGGGUUUUAAAGCAAUACUUGUAAUACAGCGGAACACAAAAAUAACUUUAUUUUACAUACACCCCGGUUUAAUAGACUAGAUUCCUAAAUAGAGUACAUUAUAAAUACAACUAUAAACUUCUCAAGUUAAAACACUUAAAAGAAAGUGACUAUAAUCUUUGAAAAUAGUCGGUUGAUAUAAAAGCUUGUGAUUCCUCGAACUCCGCUCCACCAGUUUCCAUAACCGCUUCGAGAACCUCAACCUUGACAUGGGCGAAGAGUUUCCCCUGCUUAACGUAUACUCGCAAGGUGUACUCACGUAAACAAGAUGUUAUAUUAACAUGGGGAUGCAACGACCAAUUAGAUGUAAUACAUAUAGACAUCAAGUCCCUAUAGUCUGUAUUAACAAAUAUAACACUUAAAUGCAAUAUGACGGGAUACCUAUCAGAUUCAUAACAUGGUUAUCGGUAAUAGACGUCGAUAUUCUGAGCCCGUUUAUUAAUGGAAGCUAUCCACUCUAUAGUCUAUAGUACCAUAGUUGG
rnacentral:lncRNA from 1 species